GAUGAACGCUGGCGGCGUGCCUAAUACAUGCAAGUCGAGCGAACAGACGAGGAGCUUGCUCCUCUGACGUUAGCGGCGGACGGGUGAGUAACACGUGGAUAACCUACCUAUAAGACUGGGAUAACUUCGGGAAACCGGAUCUAAUACCGGAUAAUAUAUUGAACCGCAUGGUUCAAUAGUGAAAGACGGUUUUGCUGUCACUUAUAGAUGGAUCCGCGCCGCAUUAGCUAGUUGGUAAGGUAACGGCUUACCAAGGCGACGAUGCGUAGCCGACCUGAGAGGGGGAUCGGCCACACUGGAACUGAGACACGGUCCAGACUCCUACGGGAGGCAGCAGUAGGGAAUCUUCCGCAAUGGGCGAAAGCUUGACGGAGCAACGCCGCGUGAGUGAUGAAGGUCUUCGGAUCGUAAAACUCUGUUAUUAGGGAAGAACAAAUGUGUAAGUAAAUAUGCACGUCUUGACGGUACCUAAUCAGAAAGCCACGGCUAACUACGUG
rnacentral:rRNA from 1 species